rnacentral:misc_RNA from 1 species
GUGAAGAACGUAGCGAAAUGCGAUACUUGGUGUGAAUUGCAGAAUCCCGUGAACCAUCGAGUCUUUGAACGCAAGUUGCGCCCGAAGCCAUUAGGCCGAGGGCACGCCUGCCUGGGCGUCACACGUCGUUGCCCCCCCAUCUACUCCUUCGGGAUUGCGGGGGGCGGAUGAUGGCCUCCCGUGCGCCUCGCCGCGCGGUUGGCAUAAAUGCCAAGUCCUCGGCGACGCACGCCACGACAAUCGGUGGUUGCGAAACCUCGGUUGCCCGUCGUGUGCGGUCGUCGCGCAUCGAGGGCUCGAAAAAAUUGCCGGGUUCCGGCUCGGCUUUCAACGCGACCCCAGGUCAGGCAGGGUUACCCGCUGAAUUUAAGCAUAUCAAUAAGCGGAGGA